GAUACUACGAAAUUGGGGAGGAAAAGGGGUAAAAUUCCCCCCCCAAAAACCCCCCAAAAAUACUGCAUAGUUUCCUAUGAACGCGAAGCGAGGCGACCAUCUCUGUCAGUUAGUGUAUUUCCAACCAUGCCAGCACAGAACGGUUCCGUUUGGAUUGUACAGAAAAAGGUUAGGAUCCACCCUGAUGGAGUCUGCCUUCAUUUCAGCAUGGUAUUGCGCGUUCCCCUCUCACUACAUGGCUGUAUCUGUAGGGUUUGUGUGGCUGUAGCCGUCCCUCUCAUACCAUAUUCAAUAGGCUUGAAUAACAUCCACCCUGAUGGAGUCUGCCUUAAUUUCAGCAUGGUAUUGCGUGUUCCCCUCUCACUACAUGGCUGUAUCUGUAGGGUUUGUGUGGCUGUAGCCGUCCCUCUCAUACCAUAUUCAACAGCACAGCUGUUAUAAACCUGCAUUUUUAGUUGCUCCAACAGUUAUCGCUUAUGGAUUGGUUCAUAGGUUGGAUUGGGUGAAACUGACAUGAUUCCCACUGAUGUUUUCCAGGAGAGAUGUCAGCGAUUCGGGCCAAUGACCAAGGGAAAGCUGGGACAAAAGAGAGAAAUGGAUGCUGCGGCCACUGAUUGCGCAUCAGAGAAUGACUCUGAGAAAGAGGAGUCAUCUGAAGAAUCCUAUGAAGAAAAUCUGACCGGUAUGCCUAUACCUUACAUACACAUGGACCUAUUCUUAAUUACAAUGUCCUUUUCAACAUGUUUUCCAGGAGAGAUGUCAGCGAUUCGGGCCAAACAACCACUGACCAAGGGAAGACUGGGACAAAAGAGAGGCUCACACGGUGACAAAGGAACAAAAAGGUAUUGGUCGACAAUAGAGGUGGAUGCAGUUGAAGAUUCCUUGAUGAACUUUAUCCGAAUGGGGAAAAAUGCCUGGAAAACAAGACUGUGAGAAAUGCAUUGCUGCUUCUCCCCAAGCGCUAGUAAACAGGGACUGGAGAGCAGUACAGUUCUAUAGACACAACAGAAUAGUUGCAGAUCAGAGAAAAUAAGUGUAUGAGAUGCUUCUGGCUAUCUCAUAGGCAGAUGACAAAUGUCCUCUAUCUCACUGUUCAGGGGAAGUUUUUCCUGGUGGAUGGUUCACGAGGUGAGAUCUUGCAUGGAGCCCCAGAUCGAGGGUGAUUGACCGUCAUCUUGAACUUCUUCCAUUUUCUUUUAAUUGCGCCAACAGUUGUUGCCUUCUCACCAAGCUGAUUGCAUA